rnacentral:rRNA from 1 species
UACGUAGGGGGCUAGCGUUGUCCGGAAUCAUUGGGCGUAAAGCGCGCGUAGGUGGCCUCAUAAGUCCGUUGUGAAAGUCAAAGGCUCAACCUUUGAAAGCCGAUGGAUACUGUGAGACUAGAGUACGGAAGAGGCGAGUGGAAUUCCUGGUGUAGCGGUGGAAUGCGCAGAUAUCAGGAGGAACACCAAUAGCGAAGGCAGCUCGCUGGGACGUUACUGACACUGAGGCGCGAAAGCGUGGUGAGCGAACAGG